rnacentral:rRNA from 1 species
AUUGAACGCUGGCGGCAUGCCUUACACAUGCAAGUCGAACGGCAGCGGACCUUCGGGUGCCGGCGAGUGGCGAACGGGUGAGUAAUAUAUCGGAACGUACCUUUCAGUGGGGGAUAACGUAGCGAAAGUUACGCUAAUACCGCAUAUUCUGUGAGCAGGAAAGCAGGGGAUCGCAAGACCUUGCGCUGAUUGAGCGGCCGAUAUCAGAUUAGCUAGUUGGUGAGGUAAAGGCUCACCAAGGCGACGAUCUGUAGCGGGGUCUGAGAGGAUGAUCCGCCACACUGGAACUGAGACACGGUCCAGACUCCUACGGGAGGCAGCAGUGGGGAAUUUUGGACAAUGGGCGCAAGCCUGAUCCAGCCAUGCCGCGUGAGUGAAGAAGGCCUUCGGGUUGUAAAGCUCUUUCGGCCGGGAAGAAAUCGCACAGGUUAAUACCCUGUGUGGAUGACGGUACCGGAAUAAGAAGCACCGGCUAACUACGUG